GGAAUCAUAGCUCAGCGGGAGAGCACCUGCUUGACGUGCAGGGGGUCGGGGGUUCAAAUCCCUCUGGUUCCACCA
rnacentral:tRNA from 1 species